rnacentral:snRNA from 1 species
CUUGCUUUGGCAGUGCCAAAUAAAACUGAAAUCACACGGAAAAGAUUAGCAUGACUCCUGAACAGGGAUGACAUACACAUUCAUGGUGUUCCAUAGUUUU